rnacentral:rRNA from 1 species
CUACGGGAGGCUCCAGUGAGGAAUUUUGCGCAAUGGGCGAAAGCCUGACGCAGCAACGCCGCGUGAGUGAUGAAGGCCUUCGGGUCGUAAAGCUCUGUCAAGUGGGAAGAACCUAUGUAAUGUUAAUAUCAUUAUAUACUGACGGUACCACUGAAGGAAGCACCGGCUAACUCCGUGCCAGCAGCCGCGGUAAUACGGGGGGUGCAUGCGUUAUUCGGAAUCAUUGGGCGUAAAGGGCACGUAGGCGGCCUGGUAAGUCAGAUGUGAAAGCCCGGGGCUUAACCCCGGAAGUGCAUUUGAUACUGUCAGGCUUGAGUAUGGGAGAGGGAAGUGGAAUUCCUGGUGUAGAGGUGAAAUUCGUAGAUAUCAGGAGGAACACCGGUGGCGAAGGCGACUUCCUGGACCAAUACUGACGCUGAGGUGCGAAGGCGUGGGUAGCAAACAGGAUUAGAUACCCGCGUAGUC